AAGCCCAUACCACAUAGUCAGCUAUAAAAGGCCCUGAUAAGACAAUGUAAAACAAUUCAAACGAGAAAACUAACGGCCUUAUUUAUGUAAAAAAAUGAACGAAAAACAAAUAUGUAACACAUAAACAAACGACAACCACUGAAUUACAGGCUACUGACUUGGGACAGGCACAUACAUAAAUAAUGUGGCGGGGUUAAACAUGUUAGCGAGUUCCCAACCCUCCCCCUAACCUGGGACAUUGGUAUAACAUGUAUACUGUAUGAUAACCAGAAUAAGGAGAUGUGGUAUGAAUUUCAAUAAGACAACCAUCAACCGUAAACCAAGACAGGGAUCUCCAUGGAUGAAAAUUGAACGAUGGAGGAACUUCAAGUGAAGUGAUGUAAUUGUUAGUAACUG
rnacentral:lncRNA from 1 species